AAUACGUAGGGUGCGAGCGUUAAUCGGAAUUACUGGGCGUAAAGCGUGCGCAGGCGGAUGUGCAAGACAGAUGUGAAAUCCCCGGGCUUAACCUGGGAAUGGCAUUUGUGACUGCACGGCUAGAGUGUGUCAGAGGGGGGUAGAAUUCCACGUGUAGCAGUGAAAUGCGUAGAUAUGUGGAGGAACACCGAUGGCGAAGGCAGCCCCCUGGGAUAACACUGACGCUCAUGCACGAAAGCGUGGGGAGCAAACAG
rnacentral:rRNA from 1 species